rnacentral:lncRNA from 1 species
UUUUGUCACCCAGCCUGACAGCACUGGCAAUGGGAGCUUGGAGCUCAGGGCCUGCAUUCAGGGAAGCCCAUGGGGUAAGGGAGCUUGUCACUGAGAGGAAUAGCAGAUUUGUCCUUCCAAACAACCUGAUGCUGGGUUUUCCAGAACACCAGACUUGAAUCCAGUGCCAGAAAACAGGGUGAAAAAAACCCAAACCCACCAGGAAUUUAAUAAGACUAAAACAUCUUUGUGUUCCACUGCUAAGCAAACCACAAGGAAUGUAUUUACAUGGAUCCACUGGCAGUUGCUAGGGCUGAUUUAUUUCAGUAUAGCAGAACAUAGUGAGUGGAUUGUAAAGAAGUGUGCCCUUACAUUGAAAUUAUUACACCUCUAGCAGAGAUAAAGAAUGUUUGAUUUACCUUAUUGAGGUCUGUGUUCUCCCCAAGCCUUCUGCACAAUAACAUCCAGAGACCUCUGUGCUCCAUUGUACAACAUCAGCCAGUUAGGGUGUCUUAGAAGAAUAUACUCUUUUUCUAAUUUCUGAGCUGGGGAUAGUUUAAUUAGGUUCUAGCUGAAUAACUCAAGCUCAACAACCGUGUUUCAAUGUUAAUGUUAGGUUCUGGUAACUGGAAAGAAAGGUGAGCAUUACAGAAAACCUUUGUGCUGUUCUUUUCUGAAGGAAUUGUCCUUGGUACUGUGACAAGUGUUCAUCCUGGGCAUCUGUGAACUCCUGCAAUAACUCACUGUAGGUCAUGUUUAGGCUGUUUUAGGAAUGUGUUUAUUUUCAAGGAACACCUAGCAAAUCUCUGUGCAGUUGGUUGUGUUGGGAGACAAGAAAAAGAGAGGCAGAAGGUUGAACUGAGUGUUGGAUUUGGAGCUAUCAAAUUGAAAGGAGUUCAUAGAAUGUCAAAGAAAUGCUGUGUGUUCUGGCUAUUUACAAAAAAUACUGGUCCAAAAAUAGCAUAAGUAUUGGGAAAAUAUUUUACUUGUCUUGUUAAUCUUUCAUGGCAAAUUAGUUUCUUCUUCAUCAAAAGAAUUCCUACUCGGUUUUGAUUUAAAUAAUGCAGUUAUUUAAAUAAAGUUCUUUAGUGCUUCUUCUAUAUUUUCUAG